GCUUUGUCUCUGUCUUUGCUCCUAUCAGAGUUAAUUUUUAUUUUAAAUAUAUCAGAUUUAAGUGGCAACAAGUGAGCGUCUGUUUCCUAAGCAGAAAGUCGUAGGUUAGACCCCUACCCGGCGCGUUUAACCUCUUCGUCUUUUACUUUGUAGGGAUUGAAAUUUUGAAGAAAAAACAAGAAUAAGUAUCACUUGGCAGAAAGAUUCUAGAGUAGCCAUACCCAUUCGUCUUUUAAUUUGUAGGGAUUGAAAUUUUA
rnacentral:misc_RNA from 1 species